GUUUUCAAACGCAGCCCAAGUGUCAACGACAGUGCCAUCAAGGUCCUAAUACUCAAACAAAGCCUCUGGGGCUAAUCUGGACAUCCCCGGAGACCUGCUGGUUGCCCUGAGGGAACCGGAUGGCAGGUUCUGUCUGAGCAAUCAAGCCAGCAUCAAUAGAGAAAUGAGGCCCUUGGAACAGAAUUUCAGACCUCAGCUCUGGUAUGGGUGCAUAUGGGAUGACUGUGGAAUGUAUGGGACCUCUCUCACCCAAAGCAAGUGAGACUGAAGGCAAGGGAGAAAAGGCCUAAUUCUGGGGUCCACUCAUAGCUCCAUUUGACCUCACACAAGCUGCAUCUUCACACAAGCCUUCUUUAGCAAAGGUGAUGCUUUGGCCUGCAUCAGCUCCCACCCCUCCCAGCUGGACUUCCAGUUCUAUCACUCCACUGAGAUGGCCGCGCUGAGGCUACCAAGGAUGUCUGUGAUCAUGAAUCUGAUGCUGGCUUCUCUGUCCUUGUCCUACUUUUCCUGCUCAGCAGCAUCC